rnacentral:rRNA from 1 species
CCUACGUGAGGCAGCAGUGAGGAAUAUUGGUCAAUGGACGAGAGUCUGAACCAGCCAAGUAGCGUGAAGGAUGACUGCCCUAUGGGUUGUAAACUUCUUUUAUAUGGGAAUAAAAUGUUCCACGUGUGGGAUUUUGUAUGUACCAUAUGAAUAAGGAUCGGCUAACUCCGUGCCAGCAGCCGCGGUAAUACGGAGGAUCCGAGCGUUAUCCGGAUUUAUUGGGUUUAAAGGGAGCGUAGGUGGAUUGUUAAGUCAGUUGUGAAAGUUUGCGGCUCAACCGUAAAAUUGCAGUUGAAACUGGCAGUCUUGAGUACAGUAGAGGUGGGCGGAAUUCGUGGUGUAGCGGUGAAAUGCUUAGAUAUCACGAAGAACUCCGAUUGCGAAGGCAGCUCACUGGACUGCAACUGACACUGAUGCUCGAAAGUGUGGGUAUCACACAGGAUUAGAUACCCCUGUAGUC